GAUGAAGAACGCAGCGAAAUGCGAUAAGUAGUGUGAAUUGCAGAAUUCAGUGAAUCAUCGAAUCUUUGAACGCACAUUGCGCCCCUUGGUAUUCCAUGGGGCAUGCCUGUUCGAGCGUCAUUUGUACCCUCAAGCUUUGCUUGGUGUUGGGUGUUUGUCCCGCGUUGCGCGUGGACUCGCCUUAAAGCGAUUGGUAGCCGGCAUAUUGGCCUUGGAGCGCAGCACAUUUUGCGCUUCUAGUCAUGAAUGUUGGCGUCCAUUAAGCCUAUACAUUUGCUCUUGACCUCGGAUCAGGUAGGGAUACCCGCUGAACUUAAGCAUAUCAAUAAGCGGAGGA
rnacentral:misc_RNA from 1 species